UUGGAGUUAGAAAUAUUUCUGAGGCCAUCAAUUGGAUUUGGAUUGACCUUUGGCCUUCACAACCUGCUGCAAGAGCUCCUCAUACAAGAAAUCUGGGCCAGCCCACACCGAAAAACAAAUCCUCAAGCCUGCAAUGAGAAGCUGAAUAUGUAGAGAAGACAAUCAGCCUCCCUAGGAUUUGCCUGGUAUAGACCUGCCUGCCAUGCCAGAACCAAACUGCAAACAAGAAUGUCUGGAAUAUCAAGAGUAAUGAUGUACAAAGUCCCUUCUGGCCCCAGCUUCUAUUGAAAAAUAAUUGGAUGAAUUGGUGAUGCUUACAUUUCAUCUGGCCUGCCACUCCCCAGAACCAAGGACACCACUGCAGCUUCAGCCCCAACAACAGGGAAUUGAGGAGAGCAAUCUAGGAGGAUGGGACUGUAUAACCUGGAGCUGUAAUUGGACAAUUAACCCCAAUAUGGAAAUGGACCAAAACUUAUAAAAGUGUGAAAAGGUGUGACCCAGGAGCCCAUCUUGGGUGUAGCCUUG